AUUGAACGCUGGCGGCAGGCCUAACACAUGCAAGUCGAGCGGAUGAAGGGAGCUUGCUCCUGGAUUCAGCGGCGGACGGGUGAGUAAUGCCUAGGAAUCUGCCUGGUAGUGGGGGAUAACGUCCGGAAACGGGCGCUAAUACCGCAUACGUCCUGAGGGAGAAAGUGGGGGAUCUUCGGACCUCACGCUAUCAGAUGAGCCUAGGUCGGAUUAGCUAGUUGGUGGGGUAAGGGCCUACCAAGGCGACGAUCCGUAACUGGUCUGAGAGGAUGAUCAGUCACACUGGAACUGAGACACGGUCCAGACUCCUACGGGAGGCAGCAGUGGGGAAUAUUGGACAAUGGGCGAAAGCCUGAUCCAGCCAUGCCGCGUGUGUGAAGAAGGUCUUCGGAUUGUAAAGCACUUUAAGUUGGGAGGAAGGGCAGUAAGUUAAUACCUUGCUGUUUUGACGUUACCAAAAGAAUAAGCACCGGCUAACUUCGUG
rnacentral:rRNA from 1 species